rnacentral:rRNA from 1 species
GAUGAACGCUAGCGGCAGGCCUAAUACAUGCAAGUCGAGGGAGAAUGUUGGAUUCGUCUGACAUGAAACCGGCGCACGGGUGCGUAACACGUAUGCAACCUACCUUUAACUGGGGUAUAGCUCAGAGAAAUCUGAAUUAAUCCCCCAUAAGACUACGACAUGGCAUCAUGAUGUAGUUAAAGCUCCGGCGGUUAAGGAUGGGCAUGCGGUACAUUAGCUAGUUGGUGAGGUAAUGGCUCACCAAGGCUACGAUGUAUAGGGGGUCUGAGAGGAUGAUCCCACAAACUAGGACUGAGACACGGACCAGACUCCUACGAGGGGCAGCAGUAGGGAAUAUUGGUCAAUGGACGCAAGUCUGAACCAGCCAGGCCGCGUGAAGGAUGAAGGCCCUAUGGGUCGUAAACUUCUUUUAUUAGGGAAGAAAAAACGGGAUGCGUCCUGUACUGACGGUACUUAAUGAAUAAGGAUCGGCUAACUUCGUGCCAGCCGCCGCCGUAA